AGAAUGGCUGGUGCUGAUCUGAUCAAUCUGUUUAGUCAGUGCUGUGAAAGCACCGGCAUCGAAGCUUUUGGUGUAGACGCAGCUAAGAGCUGUGCCGCCUCUUGCCAAGAGAACUCAGCUGCCUGGAUCAGAGCAGGGAGUCAAAAUGAGGUGGAAUAUCUGCUGCAAUGCACAGGAGCUGAAGGACUGGGCGGCCACCAACAGUCUCUUGCAAGUAUAGAAGAAACUCUGGUUUUCAGAAUGAACUUCAAAAUUCUAGAAGCAGGUUAUACAGGAGAGGAGGAACAGUGUGCAUGGGGACUGAGGCACGGGUAACUUGAACCAGUGUCUGAACAUCUUGUGCACAGGACCUUCACAGCCGGGAAUAAGUCCUUGUCUUAGAAAGGAGAAGAGCUGAUGCACUAUGGAAGACCACAUUUGGUUACAAGAAGUCAAUUACUCUCUAUCCUUUCUCUCAUCUCUCUUGCUCCCUUGUCAUCCCUGGGGUAGGAGCCAGCUUCCAGAAUAGGCGAGGACUCUAAAAGAAGAUGGCACAAUGAGGCCAUAAAAGCAAUCAAAUCUUUAUGCUCUUCCUUUGGUGGUUUGCUUUUCUCCAGGGAGUUGUGAAGGUAGCAAGCAGCUCUUGGGAAGUUAACCUUGAACAAGGCUGUAGGGCAACACAGACCCAGAGAAAGACUGAAUAGAGUUUUUGUCACUUAUCAGUGCAGAAAUACGCAGAAGUAACCCAGUGAGUGAAACCUGGAUACUCAGAGGAGUAGAGUCAUAAAAGACUUUGGAGUAAGAAUGGAAGGUUGGAUGCAUUCAGUCAGUGCUAAAAUAGAAUGUAGGACUAGAAGAGGGUCAUUUUUCAUGUAGCUCAGUAAGACUGCAGGGUAUCCCUCUUCUCAUGCAGUAGAUGGAGAGGGAAUGUAAAAGGAUUGGGCAGCACUACCCAGUGCAAAUUUCUAUUUACUCAUCUGCCAAAAUGCUAUCAGAAACCUCCAGAACUGCUCCCCUACAUCUACAGACACUCAUCAAAUGCAUUGCUUAAACUUUUAUAACUGAGAGCAUCAAAAUUGUGUCACUGAAAAGCUGUUCUGUGAUCUAUAGGUCAUUGUGUCACUCUUGUAAGUGAAAAAUAUUAUGCAAGGACUUCUGUGCUUGCAUGCUGUGACUUUAGAUUUUGGAUCCUGUGUUUAAAAACUAUAGCUCUAACAUUUCUUCCUCUUAUUGCACUCAGAGCUGCAGCUCCCCUCCUCCAUGCUGUUUCUCUGGGUUGUAAAAUUCAGAUUUCCUUUCUUUCUUUUACUGUACAGCUGCAGAGGGGAUUUUUCUAUUUGCUUGUUUUCCCUCACCAUGUUUGGUCCCCGCAGCUAUGACCUUUGACAAAAAGCAUAAAGCAUAUGGAGAAACAAAAAAACAAAGAGAAAAGAUAGCUUGGCUUAGAC
ensembl:lncRNA